CCCUGAAAUGAGUAAGACUCGAGUGGGGAAAGUUUUCAAAGCAGCCGCAGCGGCAGCUCCUGGGGAAACGGAAGCCGCCGGCUGGAGGGAGCCUGGCCGGAGCCGCGGACCGGGCUGAACUGAACUCUGCCGGGGUGAAAGCGCAAGCAGGCAGACCUUCUGAAACUCUCCAGCCGCUUUGGGCUCAGCUGACCCAACCAUGUGGACUCUGCCCCUCCAGGUCAGGACCGGAGUUUUAAAAUAAAAAUGGAUGAUGUGACGUUACUUGAUCUUCUGGAGUGCCCCGUGUGCCUCGAAAAGCUCGAUGUCACAGCCAAAGUCCUCCCUUGCCAGCACACCUUCUGCAAACCAUGUCUCCAGAGGAUUUUCAAGGCCCACAAGGAGCUGAGGUGCCCCGAAUGCCGGACCCUGGUGUUUUGCAGCAUCGAGGCGCUGCCGGCCAACCUGCUGCUUGUGCGUCUCCUGGACGGGGUGCGCUCGGGGCCAGGCUCGGGCAGACGGGGCUCCUUCCGCAGGCCCGGCGUGCUGGCCUCGCAGGACGGCAGGAAAAGCAGGACUCAGCCCGGAGGUCUGCAGUGCAGCCCUUUCCGGCCGGUGCCGAACAUCAGAGUCCACAUGGAUGGGGUGCCUCGAGCAAAGGCCUUAUGUAACUACCGAGGGCAGAAUCCUGGUGACCUAAGGUUUAAUAAGGGAGAUGUCAUCCUCCUCCGGAGACAGCUGGAUGAGAACUGGUACCAGGGGGAAAUCAAUGGAGUCAGCGGGGUCUUCCCAGCCAGCUCCGUGGAAGUCAUCAAGCAGCUGCCCCAGCCACCCCCACUCUGCCGGGCCCUCUACAACUUCGACCUACGAGGCAAGGACAAGACUGAGAGCCAGGACUGCCUGUCCUUCCUCAAGGAUGAUAUCAUCACUGUGAUCAGCCGAGUGGAUGAGAACUGGGCAGAAGGAAAGCUAGGAGAUAAAGUGGGCAUCUUCCCAAUCUUGUUUGUAGAGCCAAACCUCACAGCAAGACACCUCCUAGAGAAGAACAAAGGUCAUCAGUCAUCCCGCACACAAAGCCUGUCCCUCGUGUCCUCAUCCUCCAGGGGCAAAGCAAGCAACACGCCCACCCUCCAAAGGGGCCCAGGGUCCCGGAGGAAGGGGCCUGGGCAGUUCUCCAUCACAACAGCCUUGAACACUCUCAACAGGAUGGUCCAUUCCCCCUCGGGGCGCCACAUGGUGGAGAUCAGCACCCCAGUGCUCAUCAGCUCCAGCAACCCCUCUGUGCUCACCCAGCACAUGGAGAAAGUGGAUGCUCUUCCCAGCUCUGUGGGGCAGGUCAGCACUUACCACCCUGCACCUGCCUCCCCGGGACACUCCACGGCCAUCGUCCAUCUGCCUGGCUCCCAGCAACACCUCUCAGCUAACAUGUUUGUAGCCCUGCACUCCUAUUCAGCCCAUGGACCCAAUGAGCUGGACCUACAGAAGGGAGAGGGCAUCAGGGUCCUGGGGAGGUACCAGGACGGCUGGCUCAGGGGCGUCUCCUUGGUGACCGGGCGAGUCGGCAUCUUCCCCAGCAACCAUGUCAUCCCCAUUUUCAGAAAGGCAUCUAGCUUUCCAGAUUCCCGCAGCCCUGGUCUCUACACCACGUGGACGUUAUCCACCUCCUCUGUGUCCUCCCAAGGCAGCAUUUCCGAAGCUAAUCCCCGGCAGAACCGUCCCUUCAAGUCCGUCUUCGUGCCCACCGCUGUGGUCAACCCCAUGCGGAGCACAGCCGGCCUGGGGCCCAUGGGACAGGGCUCUCUUCGCAAAGGGCGGAGCAGCAUGAGAAAGAGUGGAUCCCUGCAGAGACCCAUCCAGUCCGGGAUCCCCACCCUUGUGGUGGGCUCCCUCCGACGCAGCCCCACCAUGGUGGUCCGGCCUCAGCAGUUCCAAGCCUACCAGCCGCAGGGGGUGCCCUCCGCGGCCUCGGCAGUGGUGGCGGACGUGGGACCCAAGUCCGCUCCCACCGGGGAGCCCGCCCUCACGGGUGUCAGCAGGGGCAGCGACACCAGGAUCCACUCAGCAGCCAGUUCCCUCAUCAUGGAGGGCAAAGACACCCCCGUCAAGAGUGAGCCUCUACCAAAACCGCCGGCAUCUGCCCCUCCCUCCAUCCUGGUGAAACCAGAAAACUCCAGAAAUGGCAGUGAAAAGCAAGUCAAAACCGUGAGAUUUCAGAAUUACAGCCCUCCCCCCGCCAAACAUCAUACCUCCCAUCCCAGCACUGGAAAGCCUGAACAGCCAGCCACCCCGAAGGGGUCCCAGCCUGAAGCAGCCCCCUUGGGCCCAGAGAUGACCACUCUCUUCGCCCACCGAAGCGGCUGCCAUUCUGGACAGCAGACGGACCUGCGGAGGAAGUCAACUUUUAGCAAAACCAUGACCUCAGCAUCCACGGCCUCAGCCACGCAGACCAUGUUUCCCAGCAAAUGAAUCUACAGGUGGCUUUUCCUAGACCCCCAGAGAGCCACCUGGAGCCUCUGAUUUACUGUUGUGCUGAGUGGAACACGUCCUCAGAACCUGCAUUGGAAAUCUUCCCAGGAGGAACUAUCAACAACCGGAUGCUGAAGAGAACAAAUCAUCUGCUUGGAUGGAAACUGCUCCGUGCAGAGUUACAGACCGUGUGCUAUUCCUUGGACAUCAGGGAUGGCACAGGAAUACCAAUAGGCUGGCCUCCAAGACAGAGGGUAAUAGGAGAAAAAGCCAAUCUGUCUUCCCACAGUAUCAGUGGGUGACGGGCCAGGACAGAACAAGCAAAUGAGUCACGUGCUGUUACAGGUUACACCAGACUCCCAUCCCUCUUGUUAUUUGGAUCUGCUACCAAAGCCAAACUCUGUCUUGCCAAUUUCUCACACCUUAGCACCUAACUGACAAGUGAAAGGACUGGACAUCAAAUGCCUUCCAGCGCUGUGUCUGGCCAGUCUCUCUAGCUCAGAUUUAGAGCAGUGCAGGGGAUGGUAUAAUAUUCUCCUCUCAGGUAUUCAAGCCAGAGAGGCUAGUGCUUCUUCACCACGUCCCCAGGCUUCACCCCAUCCCCUGACUCCACCAUAUACGCGUUCUUUUCCUUUCCAAUUCUAUUCUGUCUUUCUGCCCUGACACUUUCUGAUCCAGAGGGUUUUUGUUAAAACACACCAAUCAAGGAAAUAAAGACUUAGUACACAAAGAAUCUCAGACCAGAAAAAUGCAUGAUGUCUUAAGAGAGAUGCCACAGAAUGCAGAGCUUCCUGAGAGGCUAUUUCAAGUCUAAAGAUAAAAAAAUUAGUUAUAACCAUACAUACUUUCUUGUUCAGAAAUAAGCCAUUUUAAAGAUGACAUUGGAAGAUAGUCUACCUUCGGUUUUUAAAAGACUAUAAUUUAAAAUGUAAAUUUUAAAUCGUGCUAACCUGAGAGAAAUACUACACAGAUAAAUGAAAUGCACAAAUACUCUAAGACUGAGCCAUAUGUUUUCAUCUUCUCCCCCAUUUUAAGACAUCAAUAAGAAUUUCAUUUCUAAAAGCACAUGCUUCCCUGAUUAUCAGACAAUAACAAGAAUGCAGCAUGAUUUGGAUAUGUUAGUGGUUUUAAAGUUCAUGAUCAGAAUUUUGCAUUGAAGCAUCCUCAGUCUUUCAUCCAGUCCUGCCGGUAAACAGGAGCAAGCAUCAGCCAAACUAUUAGUCAAAUAAGGAUUGUAUUUUGUGGUUACAGAAAUGUUUUCUUCUGUAUGAUGCUGUCACAUUCAGGGCUCAAACUGCACUCAUCUCUUAAUGGGAUGAAUAACUAAGACGUCUUAAUCAUGCCUUUCUUGCGGUUAACCUCAGGGGAAGGUGAUAAUAAGCAAAGAAGUCCUGCAGUAUUGGCUUUAUCUGCCAAGAGGUGAGUGAGAAGGCAAGAGGUAUCAGGAGACCACAGAAGGGAUAACGUAGUGAUGACAUCUCCUUCUCACACAGGGUCAGUGAUGGUGCUGCCAACAGUCUGUCCUCCCUUUUCCCCUAACUACUGUGACUGUGUUGGUUCCAUUUCCUCUGGGAGGAAUUUGGGUUUGGUUGGCUCCUCUUUAGCCUCAGCAGCAAUGAAUGUGUAGAGAUGCUGCCUUUAGAUUCUGGAAUGUACUUGUUAUGACCAGGAGGCCUUAUAGCCCAGCUAUAAAUAGAUUUCAAUGACUUCACUUUCCAGGGUAAAGUCAUAGAAGGUUAGAGGUGGAAGGACUUUUAGUUUUAUAUAUGAUAUAUGGAAAGGUUAUAUACAGAUAAGCCAUCCACACAAAAGCAAGUAGUGUAAAUUGGACAGGGUCGAGUGUGGGGGGCAACGCAACUUCUAAUCCCCAGAAACCGUGAGAUCACAUUGGCUGAUUAUAGCCUUGUCUUCAAGGCCCUCUCGCCUAGAUAUUCUUCUUCUGAGAUUGGCUUCCCCCUCUGACAUUCAGAACAGCAGGAAACCACCACUCCUCAUUUUGAUACUUGCUGUUUUUCACAUCUCUGGGCACUUUCCAUGGCUCAUAGUUUCAUAGAGGGUUUCAUGAAGAUUUUAGCUUUUCCUUGGAAACUGCUUAGCCAAAGAGCCAAAUAUUUUUCCUAAAGCACAAAAUGAAGAAUCUGAUGUUUCCAGCCGAACUGAGAAGCUUAAGAAAAGCUUCCCCAAUUUCCUAAAGUUUUCAUCUUUGGACUGUCAGCUCCAACAUUUAGAUUCCAAAUUGUCCUGGGUCACAAAGGGAUGCAGGUGGUGGGGAGGCAGAGGAGGACGAAUUAGAAUGAUUCAGCCCAGAAAUGACCCUGAGAAUAGUCUGCUAACCAUGAAGUUUGAGUUUCAUUUUCUGAAACUGUUACUUCUUAUUACUACAUGUUGGGUCAAGGGAGAGGGUGUUAUUUAGGGGAAAGGAGGAAAGGGAGAAAAAUGCACUCUUUCAUGGAAAUAUAGGCAACAAACCUGUGGACUCUUGUGUCUCUGGUGUUUUUUUAAACAGUUUUUAAUAGACCAAAAGAGAAUCUUUAUGAGAUAUGUAUGUGAAUAAUGUUUAUUAAAAGGGUGUAACAUAUUAUUCAUUAGGGACUAUUGUAUAAAUAAACUUUAGAGGUAUAAAAUAUAGAAACAUAUAGAAAUUAUUUUCUGGGACAGUGGACACUUAAGGACUUCCAAACUUUUCAUAUCUUUGUUCCAAAAAAGUAGUACCAGGGCUGGCAGCUUAUUUCGUUAGUAUCUUGCACUGUAAAGCCACGAAGUGUGGUGGGGUUUCAUUUGUUUGUCUUCUGGUUUUGUAAUUUAUAACAAUCUUUAUAAUAGAUUACUUUGAAAUGUUUAUUGCAUGUGUGUUGGUGUUGUGUACCCAUCCAGAGUCAUCAGAGAUCUAUCUGUUCCACACUUUGCAUCUUAGAAAACCAAAGGGAAUUUUCUAGCAAGAAGAAAAACACACAGAACAGCCUUCGCUGUUGGCUAACUCUCAGAUUUGUUCCGCCAACAGCAUCUUGUUAAGUCUGAGGAAGCGGGAAGCUGAGUAUCAGAGCUGUCAUCUCUCACCUAAACAUUUGAUGUCGGAUAACUUUUCUCUGGGGAAGGAAACACCUGUCUUUGUGAAGUCCUUUCUUCAUGGACUUGACAAGUUCUAGAGGAAACUGGAAGUCAGGGCCCGUAGCCUCCCUGCUCUAGGACCACUCUCCACCAUCGGUUUUCAAAGCACUACCACGUGUCAUUUCUGUUUUAUGUUCCAUGAUUCAGUGGCAGACUCAGUGCUUUUAGGACCCAGAGUUUUACUUGUUUGGGUUUGGGGCUCUAAUGAGGUGUUAAGUUUGCUCUGCUGCCCAGACUGAUCAGAAGCUGCAAAGGGCAAAAAGGGGCUCCCUUGCUAGAGAGGUUCAUUCGCACCUCUGAUCGCAGCCGAGAAAAGCACCGGGCCUGUAACUGGUGUGGGAAGUACCUCUGCUCUGCGCGCAGGGAGGGGUCAUCGUGUGAGAGCGGACAGGUCAUCCAAGACCCCUUUGCCAAAAAUCCGUGUUGUUCCCAGGUGACAGCUUGUGAAGCGUGGUAUGUGUUUUCUCAUGAAACAAUAAAACCGGUUAUUCUGACUUCAUA